CAUUGGUGGUUCAGUGGUAGAAUUCUCGC
rnacentral:piRNA from 8 species